UACAGAGGUCUCAAGCGUUGUUCGGAUUCAUUGGGCGUAAAGGGUGUGUAGGUGGCGCCGUAAGUCGGGUGUGAAAUUUCGGAGCUUAACUCCGAAACUGCAUUCGAUACUGCGGUGCUUGAGGACUGGAGAGGAGACUGGAAUUCAUGGUGUAGCAGUGAAAUGCGUAGAGAUCAUGAGGAAGACCAGUGGCGAAGGCGGGUCUCUGGACAGUUCCUGACGCUGAGGCGCGAAGGCUAGGGGAGCAAACGGG
rnacentral:rRNA from 1 species